rnacentral:rRNA from 1 species
UACAGAGGAGCCAAGCGUUGUCCGGAUUGACUGGGCGUAAAGCGCACGCAGGCGGACGCGCGCGUGGGGUGUGAAAUCUGGCCGCUUAACGGCCAGGCGCCAUCCCAUACGGCGCGUCUGGAGUGAUGCAGAGGUCGAUGGAAUUGCCGGUGUAGUGGUGAAAUGCGUAGAUAUCGUUUGGAACGCCAAUGGUGAAAACAGGUUGCUGGGGAUGUGCUGACGCUGAGACACGAAAGCCAGGGGAGCAAACGGG